AUUAGAUACCCUGGUAGUCCACGCCCUAAACGAUGUCAACUGGUUGUCGGAUCUAAUUAAGGACUUGGUAACGUAGCUAACGCGUGAAGUUGACCGCCUGGGGAGUACGGUCGCAAGAUUAAAACUCAAAGGAAUUGACGGGGACCCGCACAAGCGGUGGAUUAUGUGGAUUAAUUCGAUGCAACGCGAAAAACCUUACCUACCCUGGACAUGCUUGGAAUCUAAUGGAGACAUAAGAGUGCCCGAAAGGGAGCCAAGACACAGGUGCUGCAUGGCUGUCGUCAGCUCGUGUCGUGAGAUGUUGGGUUAAGUCCCGCAACGAGCGCAACCCUUGUCACUAAUUGCUAUCAUUUUUAAUGAGCACUUUAGUGAGACUGCCGGUGACAAACCGGAGGAAGGUGGGGAUGACGUCAAGUCCUCAUGGCCCUUA
rnacentral:rRNA from 1 species